rnacentral:ncRNA from 1 species
ACAACGGUAGAGGCUUAGAUGCCCGCCCCGUAAAAGAGCGUGGCACCCACGGGGGUGGGCGGAGUCAGUGGUGCGACCGGCUACCCCCAGG